rnacentral:lncRNA from 1 species
UGGUGUCUAAAUAUAAUAUGUUUCAAUCAGAUAAUAAUAAACAACUGAUGCAAAAGAUAUAGAGCAUAUAUGAAACACCCAUUUAAACGGACAUGAAACGGCGUACAUACGUCAGGGUUACAAAUGUAUCCCGUUAUUGUUUCAGUUAUAUAAUUGUUUAUUCAAAUUAAAUGUUAAAAGAACACAACCACAACAGAUUUCAAACCGAUAAACUUUACACCCAUAUUGAAAAUUUAAUAUUCAUUUAGUUUUUAUUUUAGAUACCAGGCCAUGCAUUGCGUUUAAAUUUGUUAA